UGCUGGAGGUAUCAGAAGUGCGAAUGCUGACAUAAGUAACGAUAAAGCGGGUGAAAAGCCCGCUCGCCGGAAGACCAAGGGUUCCUGUCCAACGUUAAUCGGGGCAGGGUGAGUCGACCCCUAAGGCGAGGCCGAAAGGCGUAGUCGAUGGGAAACAGGUUAAUAUUCCUGUACUUGGUGUUACUGCGAAGGGGGGACGGAGAAGGCUAUGUUAGCCGGGCGACGGUUGUCCCGGUUUAAGCAUGUAGGCUGGUUGUCCAGGCAAAUCCGGAUAAUCAAGGCUGAGGUGUGAUGACGAGGCACUACGGUGCUGAAGUAACAAAUGCCCUGCUUCCAGGAAAAGCCUCUAAGCAUCAGGUAACAUUAAAUCGUACCCCAAACCGACACAGGUGGUCAGGUAGAGAAUACCAAGGCGCUUGAGAGAACUCGGGUGAAGGAACUAGGCAAAAUGGUGCCGUAACUUCGGGAGAAGGCACGCUGGUGUGUAGGUGAAG
rnacentral:rRNA from 1 species